UAAGUUGGUAGUGAAAGCGUUCGGCUCAACCGAAUAAACAUUACCAAACUACAAAGCUAGAGGAUGAGAGAGGUUAUUGGAAUUCCUAGUGUAGGAGUGAAAUCCGUAGAUAUUAGGAGGAACACCGAUGGCGUAGGCAGAUAACUGGCUCAUUCCUGACACUAAGGCACGAAAGCGUGGGUAGCAAACGGGAUUAGAUACCCCGGUAGUCCACGCCGUAAACGAUGGAUGCUA
rnacentral:rRNA from 1 species